rnacentral:rRNA from 1 species
UAACGCGAAGAACCUUACCAGGUCUUGACAUCUUCUGCUAACCUAAGAGAUUAGGCGUUCCCUUCGGGGACGGAAUGACAGGUGGUGCAUGGUUGUCGUCAGCUCGUGUCGUGAGAUGUUGGGUUAAGUCCCGCAACGAGCGCAACCCUUAUUGUCAGUUGCCAGCAUUUAGUUGGGCACUCUGGCGAGACCGCCGGUGACAAACCGGAGGAAGGUGGGGAUGACGUCAAAUCAUCAUGCCCCUUAUGACCUGGGCUACACACGUGCUACAAUGGACGGUACAACGAGUCGCGAAACCGCGAGGUCAAGCUAAUCUCUUAAAGCCGUUCUCAGUUCGGAUUGUAGGCUGCAACUCGCCUACAUGAAGUUGGAAUCGCUAGUAAUCGUGGAUCAGC